rnacentral:ncRNA from 1 species
UCCUUUUAGGAUAUUUAUAUAAGGUCUGGCCUGCCCAAUGAGUGAUUGAAUGGCUGCGGUAUUUUGACCGUGCUAAGGUAGCAUAAUCAUUUGUCUUUUAAUUGAGGGCUUGUAUGAAAGGUUGGAUGAAGUAAUAACUUUCUUUAAUUUAAUUUAUGAAUUUAAUUUUUAGGUUAAAAAGCUAAAAUGUUUUUAUAGGACGAGAAGACCCUAUAGAUCUUUACAGUUUAUUAGGUAUAAUGAUUUGGUGAAUUAUUUAUUAUUAUUCAAUGAUUUUGUUUGAUUGGGGUGAUUGUGGAAUUCUUUUAACUUCCAUUAUUUUUUUUCAAUGAUUAUUGUUUUAUUUGAUCCAUUAGUAAUGAUUAGAAGAUUAAGUUACCUUAGGGAUAACAGCGUAAUUUCUUCGGAGAGUUCAUAUUGAUGAGGAAGUUUGCGACCUCGAUGUUGGAUUAAAAUUAGUGUUAGGUGUAGCAGCUUAAUAACUAGGUCUGUUCGACCUUUAAAGUUUUACAUGAUCUGAGUUCAGACCGGCGUAAGCCAGGUCAGUUUCUAUCCAUAAUUUUAUAAUGUAUUUUAGUACGAAAGGACCAA